rnacentral:lncRNA from 1 species
GUGAAUGUGACUUCACUAUAUAGCCUAGGCUGGCCUCGAACUUGCUGCGAUCCUCCUGCCUCUGCCCCCACCCCCUACCCCCCACCUAGUGCUAGGAUUACAGGCAUGUACCUACAGACAAAGAGAAAAUGUUUUAAAAUACAUAUUAGUCAAUUUACAGGAUUAAUACUACUUACAAAUUUUUCUGUGUGUCUUUUAUAUACUACAGUUCUAAGGGCUGGGGAUAUAGUUCAGUGGUAGAGUGGCUGCUUUCCAAGUGCAAGGUCCAGAGUUCAUUUUCCAGCACUACAAAUACAUAAAUGUGUAUACACACGUGUAUACAUUUUGUACCUAUAUAUAGGGUAUUGAAAUGCUUGUUUUUCUUUUUCUUUCUUUUUUUUUUUUUUUUUUGGGUACUGGGGAUCGAACUCGGUCCUUGUGCUUGUGCAGUAGGCCGCGAAACCACUGAGCUAAAUCCCCAACCCAAAAUGCUUGUUUUUCAGUACUCUCCAUGAUCUCUUCCCAUGUGAGCCUAUUUAAUUGGUCAGUCUAAAUUCCUAGUGUUUCAAAGUGGACUUUGACAGACACAAAACAGGAGAGUGGUAAAAAUAACAGUAUCAGUGACAAAUAGCAGCACCAAUGUUUGUCCUUGACUUGCCACAGUGCUCACAAUGUGCUCAGCACUUGAUAAACAUCUUCAAUCGUCAUAGCUGCCCCUUAAAAAAAUACUAAUAUUAUCUCCAUUUUACAUAAGGGAAACUGAAAAUCCAAGACUUAACAUGACUUCCCCAAGGCCACACUGCUGGAGAAAGGAAAUCCUACGAAUUAAAUGUGUUGUCAGAAGCUGGUUUAAAAAAAGAAAAGAUGGAAGCCAGGCACAGUGGCACAAGACUUAAUCCCAGCUAUUUGGGAGGCUGAAACAGGAAGACUGACUUCAAGUCCACCAUGGGGAACGUGAUGAGACACCUUUCUCAAAAAUAGAAAGACAAGGACUGGCAUAGUGUGGUGGAUUAUAAGGCUCUUCAGGAUCAAUUUUGGAACAAUAACAAAAAGUCAUGAUAAUAAAGCAGAAAGUAAAUGAUGAAUGACCUGAAAUAAGAGUCCCAUUUAUGUAUUUAUAUUCCAGAAGAAGAAACAACAUGAAGCAUUCACAAAGGUUGCAUCUAAUACUUUUCUUUUUAUAAAAUAUCUAUGAUCACUUUUCCCUGAUUGACUGUUAGAAAAAUACUAUUUUUUUUCAUGCAAUAUCAUUAAUCAAGUGGUAGGAGUUUGAAAUGUCC